rnacentral:lncRNA from 1 species
GGGUUGUGAAAAAGAAAGGAAUUUUCUUUUUCCUUUUUAUUAUAUAUAUAUAUAUAUUAAAAAUAUAUAUAUAAAAAUAGUAAAUAUAUAUUUUUUGUUUUAUUUUAAUAAAUAUAUAAAAAUAAUGUGUGUGGGAUUACUUUUUAAAAAAAAAUUAUAAUUUUUUACAUGGAAAUGACAUGACACUGAUGUGGCACUGAUUUGGCAAUGACGUAGGGCGUGUGUACUUCACUCUUCGUAGUGAGAGUGGUAUGAUUUUUUAAGGGUGGAAAAAAAUUGACUUUAAAGUUAUCAAGGGGGUAAAUAAACGGAAGUUAAGUUUAAGUGCUAAAGUGAGUUUAGAGAACAAGUUCGGGGGGGGGGGAAGAUGUAUUUUCUCCAUUUUUAUAUAUAUAUAUACAUAUAUACAUAUAUAUAUAUAUACAUACAUACAUACCGACCAAGUGGGGUCUGGGAAGGGUAUGUGUACGUUGUUCAUACCACUACCUCAGAGGUGAGGUAGAAAGGCUAUUUCCGAUAGACCUCCAGUUCAAGAUAAAACAAUUUAGACAAGGAAUAGUAAAAGGACAAGAUAAAAUAGAAAUUACCACACCCAAUAAUACCAUAGACAAGUUCAUGAAGUAAUACAACAAACGAUACGACAUUCGAAAAUAAUACUAACCUUCUACCCUAAUCCGUCUUCUCCACAACUUCCUAUCUCAUGUCCUCGGUAAGCUGAAGCUGCUACAAGUAAUGUCUAAUUAUCUCCCUUCAAUAUUUCUUCGGUCUACCUCUACCUCACUUGAAUCUAUCUCUAUCCAAUCUCGCACACCUUCGGGGCAUUCGUUUCCCUCCUCAUCACAUGUCCGAACCAUCUCAACCUCGCUUCCCUCAAAUUGGCUUCCACGAGCCACUCCUACUAAUGCAAGUGCUAAGUCCUCAAGACCUUUUACACGUAGCAAAGCCAAGGAAUUGCAACAACUUCAAUCAUUGUUCAUACAAUUGAAGGCGUGUGAAGGUGUAAUGCAUCCGACCAAAGGAGGUUACUUGCUGAUUUUUGAAGAAGUGCAUUGAAAGAACUACUCUUCUACACCUCAUGGGCGUCUAUUGGGAGGGGUUUGGUGGACUUCUCACACUUAAAGUCCACACUCAAGAGGCGCCUCUUUUAGGGCCUCAUUAAGCGCAUUUGAGUCUUUAUUCAUGUAAUAGUAUAAAUAGGCAUUUUACUUCUCUUUUCAUUAGACUUUUGAUGACAUUGAACCUACUUCUAUAUUGUAGUUUUAGCUUUGUAGAGAGAGAGUAGAAUCUGAAAAUUGGUCCUUGAACACUUGAAAGUUAGGUUUUCAUUUGUCUUGGAUAAUUGGCAUGAAAGGUGUGCUUGGGGAAGAGUGUUUCCCUUGGGUCACCUAAGAGAGUGGUUUGAACUUACAUGGUGAUGUGUGUUUGAAGGUUUGAUACACCUUCUAGUGCUAUUCACUUGUGGAAGUAAGGGUCACUUUACUAUCUUUUCAUCUUAUGCAAUCUUCACCUUCUCCUCCUUUCUUUGUGUGUUGUUUUCUUUAGUUAUGUUUGCUGGAAAUUAUUUGUUGAACCCCAAAUUUCGUGAUUUCUUAGUGUUNNNNNNNNNNNNNNNNNNNNNNNNNNNNNNNNNNNNNNNNNNNNNNNNNNNNNNNNNNNNNNNNNNNNNNNNNNNNNNNNNNNNNNNNNNNNNNNNNNNNNNNNNNNNNNNNNNNNNNNNNNNNNNNNNNNNNNNNNNNNNNNNNNNNNNNNNNNNNNNNNNNNNNNNNNNNNNNNNNNNNNNNNNNNNNNNNNNNNNNNNNNNNNNNNNNNNNNNNNNNNNNNNNNNNNNNNNNNNNNNNNNNNNNNNNNNNNNNNNNNNNNNNNNNNNNNNNNNNNNNNNNNNNNNNNNNNNNNNNNNNNNNNNNNNNNNNNNNNNNNNNNNNNNNNNNNNNNNNNNNNNNNNNNNNNNNNNNNNNNNNNNNNNNNNNNNNNNNNNNNNNNNCUUGAAUAUUCAUCUUGUUCAUCCAUGAUCUUCAUAACUUAGUGAAGAAGAGUAUUCAAGGUUCUUGUUUGAUCCAAAAAAGGAAAGAAAGAGCGUGAAAAAGUUGUUUGUCCAAAAGCAUAUUCAAAGAAUAUUUCAUUCUUCCAAAAAGGGGAGGGGACAAGAGGACAAACAAAGUACGAAUGCAUUUAUUAGGGGGGGACCAAUUCAUUUCUCAUCCAUUUUGAAGCUUGAAAGGGCUUCAAACUUGAACAUUUUCCCUCCCAAAACUGAAUUCUCUUCUUUCCUAAGGGUGUUUAGCCGAAAACAAUUUUUGAAAAAAAUCAAAUUCCAAAGGGUGACCACCAACCACGUAGUGCCAUGUCAUCACUUGUGCUCAACCAAAGUUCGACCCUAAAAUUAGAUUUUUUCUAGUUUCUAGUUUUUUUUUAUUCUAGUUUCUUAUAAGUCAAUUCUAUCCCUAGUUAGUAAGGUAGUAAUUACCUACUAGUUUGGUAAUUAGAUUAGAGUCUGUUGUUUCGCGUCUUCGAUUUUUGUGUGCUUUUCUCUUUUUCAAGUCGUAGUAUUUUUGUUGAUUCAAGUUCGUGCAUCACUUAUUUGAGUCGUUUCAAACGAAGAUCCAUUCCGAUUUAAAGCUUCUCACCUCUCAAGUAACUUGCCAAGUAUUGUCGAUUCUCCAACACUUGUGAAGCCAAGUGUGAGGUGAGGUUGAGUGUGAGUGAGGUGAGGCUUUUGAACUAACUUGUUCAUUUUGUAGGUUAUUUUGCUUGCUGUUUUUGCACUUCGUAGGUACAUUUUCCAUGGAAGCCGAAGGUACUACUUCCCAACCUUUGGGAAAUGAUGUUAUGGGAGCUUUGAUGGCCCAAAUGGAGGCCUUGAGUCGAGAAAUAAAGAUUGGAAAUGAUGCUAUAAGGAGUGAAUUGGAUGCAAUGAAGGGUGAGAUUUCCACUUUUAGUGGAAGGCUUGAUUAUGUUGAAAGUAGGAGGAACUCGCGACCUUCUACUCCUAAUCCCUACCAUGCGUCCUCUAGUGUCUAAGCCAAUAACUCUUCUGUGACAAUUACCCCCGAAACUCUCCACCAAAUGUUUAAUCCUCCAAGAGCUUCACAAAACCAGCCACUAAACCUACCCCAAACCUCUCCUAACCGAACCCUACAAAGACCACUACAUUCCCAAAUGAACCAAGUCCAACAAGAGGGACUUGGAACCCAAACUCCACCACCAAAUACCUCCCCAAAACACCACCUACCAAAUGCCAAAUCCCAUGGACCAAAGACCUUACAAUCCACUAACCUUACCAUCCACCACCUCCAAUACCACAAGUCCAUGCUCCAAAUAACCAAAGUCCAAAUCCACCCCUCCCAAAGACCCCAAAUCCGAAACCCACACCUUCACAUUGAGGAUUAUGGUAGCGGGGAGUAUGAAGGUUAUGAAGUUCCUGAUGGUGUUUGGUUCGAUGAAGAAGAAAGGAAGAUUUGAGCAAAGGGGACCUUAUGGUAGAUUCCGAGGGCAAGAUGCAAGGCAUGGGUAUGGUGAUCAACCAAGAAUCCGAGAUAUUGGCAUUAAUUCAAUCAAGGUUGGCAUUUCGAUCUUCAAGGGAGAAAGUGAUCCUGAGGUUUACUUAGCUUGGGAAUUGUCUUGUGAAAAGUUGUUCCAAGUGAAUGACUUAACCGAAGAGAAGAAAAGUUGUUAUGCCAUUGCACAUUUCGAGGGUUAUGCUAAUACUUGGUGGGAUUACACUAAAAGGUUUGGGAAUGUCUUGAUUGGUGGCCAACCACCCCCUUGGGAAGUCUUGAAAAGAGUAAUGAGAGAGCGGUAUGUCCCGGAACAAUAUAGGCAUGAUCUUCUUGCCAAGCUUUACAAUCUAAGGCAAGGAAGCAAGAGUGUCAUGGCGUAUUAUGACGAAUUUCAGCAACUCACCUUGAAGCUUGAUCAUAGGGGUGAACAUGUGCAACAUGAUGUUAUUUGCUUCAAGGUUGGGUUGAACAAAGACAUAUCCUCCCGUUUGACUCUUCACAAGUUUGAAAUCGUGGUUGAAGUCUUCCAAGCGGCCAUGGAGAUUGAGAAAGAGAACAAACAGAGGUCGACUAACAAGUUCAAAUUCCAACAAGGUUUGGGUUUGGCUAACAACAAAGAGGUAAGUCCUUUGACUUCGGGUUGGAACAAGAACAAAUCUACUUCAUCUUCUUCUUCUUCUCAAGUUCUAAACAAGCAAGUGUCAAACCAACCUCCGAGGAUGGAGGUGAAGCCGAAUACCCUCCCUCCCUCUUCUAAGGGUUUUCAAUAUUUUAAGUGUCAUGGUUGGGGGCAUAGAGCAAAUGAAUGUCCGAAUUGAAGAAAUGUGAUUCUAAGAGAGGGAAAGAUAUACUACUUAGGAGAAGAGUUGAGGGAUGAAUCGAAAAAUGGAGGUGAGGUUGAACCUCAAGAUGGAGAGCCUUGUGAUAGGAAACCCGAGGUCCUAUGUGAUGAUUGUGAGGAAGAAGACACUUGGCCACAAGAUGGAGAGUGUCAAGUUCCUAAUUAUGUAGUGAGGAGGGCUAUGGUGAGUAAGGCACUUGAAGAUCNNNNNNNNNNNNNNNNNNNNNNNNNNNNNNNNNNNNNNNNNNNNAGGGGUGUGUACUAUGGUGAUUGAUAGUGGGAGUUGCACAAACGUUGCUAGUUCUACAAUGGUGGACUUCUUGAAAAUUCCUACCAUUCCUCAUGCUAAUCCCUGCAAACUACAAUGGAUAAAAAUGAAUGUGGUGAGUUAAAAGUGACACGACAAUGCAUGAUCAAGUUCAAGGUAGGAAACUACCAAGAUGAAGUUUGUUGUGAUGUUAUUCCGAUGCAAGCGUGCCAUUUGCUACUUGGUAGACCAUGGCAAUAUGAUAAAUCUACCAAGCAUGAUGGAAGGUUGAACACUUACUCUCUUGUGCAUGGUGGAAAGAAGUUCACAUUACACCCACUUUUACCUUCUCAAGUGAAUGAGUUGCAUCAAAAGUUAAGAGAGUUGAAAGAAAAGGGAAGCAAAAGACUAGAACCCGAAAAGAGGCAAAAGGAGGUAGUUUCGGGGUCUACCUCUUCCAAGGGAGAAGUUGCUGAUCCUAAGGCUCAAAAGGGUCAAGGACCCCUGGUUAUGUUGGCUAGGAGGAAGGAUUUGUUCAAGGAACAAGACAUGAACACUCCUAUGCUCCUCCUAGCUCAUGCUCUUAAUACUAACUUCUCUUCUUCUUCUUUUUGUACUUUUCCUUCUUCUCUUCCACCUUCUAUUUCACUUGUUUUGCGGGAGUUUGAUGAUGUAUUCCCACAAGAAUUACCACAAGGAUUGCCCCCGAUUCAGGGAAUUGAGCACCAAAUUGAUGUGGUGCCGGGUUCACAACUUCCAAACAAAUCGGCUUAUAGGAGCAAUCCCACGGACACUAAGGAGCUUAAAAAGACAAGUUGAGGAGCUUCUCAACAAAGGCUACAUUAAAGAAAGUUUGAGUCCGUGUGCUGUCCUGGUGCUUUUGGUGCCAAAGAAAGACGAAACUUGGCGCAUGUGCGUCGAUUGUAGAGCCAUCAACAAAAUCACUAUUAAGGUAUCGUCAUCCUAUCCCUAGGCUAGAUGAUAUGUUAGAUGAGCUCCAUAGUGCUUGUGUGUUUUCUAAAGUCGAUCUUAGGGUGGCUACUACCAGAUUCGCAUACAACCCGGUGAUGAGUGGAAGACCGCAUUCAAGACCAAAUUCGGUCUAUAUGAGUGGCUGGUCAUGCCCUUUGGUCUUACCAAUGCUCCUAGCACCUUUAUGAGGCUAAUGAAUUAUGUAAUGAAGCCUUAUAUUGGAAAGUUUGUGGUGGUUUACUUUGAUGUCGUGUUGGUAUAUAGUAAAUCUAUUGAUGAUCAUGUGAUGCAUUUGAGGUGUGUGUUUGAUGUGCUCCGAAAGGAGAAGUUGUAUGCCAACAUAGAGAAUUGUUCUUUUUGUGUUGAUAAAGUGGUUUUCUUAGGUUUUGUUGUGAGCUCAAGGGGUGUGGAAGUGGAUGAAUCCAAGAUAGACUAUACGAAGUUGGCCGACCCUUAAGACUAUUGGAGAAAUUCGAAGUUUUCAUGGGUUGGUGAGCUUUUAUAGGAGGUUUGUCAAGGGUUUUAGCUCCAUAGCAGCCCCCUUGACCGAGGUUAUUAGAAAGGACCAACCCUUUAAGUGGGGUAAUGAGCAAGCUAAGGCUUUUGAAGCCUUGAAAGCUACGCUCAUCUCGACACCUUUGUUGCAAUUGCCCGAUCUUGAUAAGAUGUUUGAAUUUGAGUGUGAUGCUAAUAAGGUUGGUAUUGGGGCUGUUUUGAUGCAAGAAGGCAAGCCCGUUGCUUAUUUUAGUGAAAAGCUCAAAGGGGCAACUCUUAAUUAUUCGACUUAUGAUUUGGAGUUGUACGCCCUUGUUAGAGCUUUAGGCAAUUAACAACAUUAUUUGUGGCCUAAGGAGUUUGUGAUACGAACGGAUCAUGAAUCGUUGAAACACCUUAAGAGCCAAGACAAGUUGAAUAGGCGUCAUGCUAAGUGGAUUGAGUUUAUUGAGACUUUCCCUUAUGUAAUUCAUUACAAGAAGGGGAAGGAAAUUGUUGUUGCCGAUGCAUUGUCUAGAAAGCAUUUGCUUGUUGCUACCUUGUCUUCGAAGUUGAUGGGAUUUGAGAGCUUGUGGAUGUUGUAUCCCGAGGAUCCUACCUUUGCUCCUAUUUUUAGGGAAUGUGAAGAGUGGGGAAGGGACCGAUGGCUUAAAGAGAAUGGCCAUUCCUUCUACUCUCGAUUUGAUGGUUAUUUGUUCAAAGGGAGGAGGUUGUGUGUUCCUUCUAGUUCAUGGAGGGAACUGUUUGUGAGAGAGGCACAUGAUGGUGGCGUUAUGGGGCAUUUUGGGGUUGACAAGACCCUCGGUAUCUUAGAGGAGCAAUUCUAUUAGCCCAAAAUGCGCAAGGAUGUUGCUAAAGUUUGUGGCCAAUGUAUGGAUUGUCGGAGUGCGAAAUCUCGCCUCCUACCUCAAGGAUUGUACACCCCACUUCCCACUCCCCUUAGGCCUUGGUUAGAUAUAUCCAUGGACUUUGUUUUGGGGCUGCCAAGGACUAGAAAGGGUCGAGAUAGUAUUUUUGUUGUUGUUGAUAGAUUCUCCAAAAUGGCUCAUAUCAUUCCAUGUGCCAAAACCGAGGAUGCUCCUAGUGUAGCUUCAUUAUUUGUUGAACAUGUUGUAAAGCUUCACGGGAUCCCAAAGACUAUUGUGAGUGAUAGGGACUCAAAGUUCCUAAGUCUCUUUUGGAAGUCUAUGUAGGGUAGGCUUGGAACGAAGUUGCUUUUCUCCACGUCUUGCCACCCACAAACCGAUGGCCAAACGGAGGUAGUAAAUAGAACCUUAGGGUGUAUGCUACGUUCUAUGGUUAAAGGUAAAAUGAAUUCAUGGGAAGAUCACCUACCCUUGGUGGAAUUUGCAUACAAUCGGAUAAUACAUUCCAAGUCCGGGAAUGACUCCCUUUGAGUGUUUUUAUGGCAUGAAUCCCCUUACUCUUUUGGAUCUCACUCCUUUGUCUAGUGAUCUUGUGACAAGUUUAGAUGGAUGCAAAAGAGUCGAGACAAUGAAGAAAAUGCAUGAGGAGGUGCGGAUCAAGCUUGAAAAGAAAAACCAAGAGGUUGCAAAAAGGGUGAACAAAGGUAGAAGAAAGCUUGUGCUUGAACCCGGAGGUUGGGUAUGGGUACACUUAAGGAAGGAGCGGUUCCCGAAUCAAAGGAAAGCUAAGCUUAUGCCCCGGGGAGAUGGACCCUUCCAAGUGCUUAAAAGGAUCAAAGGUAAUGCUUACCAAAUAGAUCUACCUUCGGAUUAUCAAGUACAUUCCACUUUCAAUAUUUGUGAUCUAUCACCCGUGGACAUUCUUGAUAUUGAUGAAGCCGCAAGUUUGAGGACAAAUUCUCUUCAAGAUGGAGAGGAUGAUGCAAGUGCUAAAUCCUUACGACCUUUUACACGUAGCAAAGCCAAGGAAUUGCAACAACUUCAAUCAUUGUUCAUACAAUUGAAGGCGUGUGAAGGUGUAAUGCAUCCGACCAAAGGAGGUUACUUGCUGACUUUUGAAGAAGUGCAUUGAAAGAACUACUCUUCUACACCUCAUGGGCGUCUAUUGGGAGGGGUUUGGUGGACUUCUCACACUUAAAGUCCACACUCAAGAGGCGCCUCUUUUAGGGCCUCAUUAAGAGCAUUUGAGUCUUUAUUCAUGUAAUAGUAUAAAUAGGCAUUUUACUUCUCUUUUCAUUAGACUUUUGAAGAAAGGUGUGCUUGGGGAAGAGUGUUUCCUUUGGGUCACCUAAGAGAGUGGUUUGAACUUACAUGGUGAUGUGUGUUUGAAGGUUUGAUACACCUUCUAGUGCUAUUCACUUGUGGAAGUAAGGGUCACUUUACUAUCUUUUCAUCUUAUGCAAUCUUCACCUUCUCCCCUUUUCUUUGUGUGUUGUUUUCUUUAGUUAUGUUUGCUGGAAAUUAUUUGUUGAACCCCAAAUUUCGUGAUUUCUUAGUGUUAGGCUAUCACCUACCUUAUCUCGAAUGAACUUAUUUCUAAUCCUACGUUUUCUAGUACUGUUACGAUCCAUUGCAAAGUCCCACAUCGGUAUUACAAAGUAUUGUUGUGGGCUAUUUAUAGCCUUGGGCUCUCCCACCUUAUUAGCUAGCUUUUGGGCUGCGGUUCUCCUAAGGUUGUAACAGUGGUAUCAGAGCCACCCAUCACCCUUCGCGCCCACCGUGCUUGGGAUGGUGACGUCGGUAUGGCAAUGUUCGACUGGGGCUAGCAAUGUUUAGCGCACAGCCAUCGAGGCACCUGGGCACCUGACUUGAAAAGGGCUGCCUGGGAAAGAGCUACUGAUACAAGAUUGACAAGGAAGACACUAACACACACUAAAACAGUCCAUGAUUUGAAGAACCGAGGACCCCUUUUGGUGACCCCUCUCGGAUUCACUACACAAUAACAAUACAAACACGAUAAC